GAGAAGCGAACCUGCGAAGGCAAGCGGAUCUCUUAAAGCCGUUCUCAGUUCGGACUGUAGGCUGCAACUCGCCUACACGAAGCUGGAAUCGCUAGUAAUCGCGGAUCAGCACGCCGCGGUGAAUACGUUCCCGGGUCUUGUACACACCGCCCGUCACACCAUGGGAGUCGGAAAUGCCCGAAGCCAGUGACCCAACCUUUAAGGAGGGAGCUGUCGAAGGCAGGUCUGGUAACUGGGGUGAAGUCGUAACAAGGUACC
rnacentral:rRNA from 1 species